rnacentral:tRNA from 1 species
GCGGGUUUAGCUUAGUUGGGAGAGCGUCAGACUGAAGUCAAACUUCAUCGUGUAUCUGAAGGUCAUGUGCUCGAUCUACAUAAACCGCA